rnacentral:lncRNA from 10 species
UCUUACCCCACUCCUAUCCAUCAAGGCUGGCAGAGGCUAUUUUCCAGGAUUUUAGGGUUGCUGGCAGCUGGGCAGUGACUCAGGAGAGUUGUGAGUGGGGACAGAAAGGAAGGAAGUAUGCCAAACAGUGCUAAAAAAUAUCCAAAGCUAAGAAAUGUGUAAUUAGCCCUGACCUCCUUUGCCCUUCCUCCUUACUAAAGCAGAGUGGGUGAAAUGGCUCAUGGGUUAUUAAUUGCCCUCUGCUGGUCACUUUACAGGCAUGGCUUCCCAUUUGCUUACUUUAUUUUCUAGGGAUGUCAGCAAAUUACCACAAACUUGAUGACUUAAAGCAACAGUAAUAUAUUGUCUCAUAGUUCUGGAAGUUAGAAGUCUAAAAUCAAGGUGUCACAGGGUCCAUGCUCCAUCUGAAGUUGUCCAGGGACUGAAGUGUCCAAUCCUUCCUUGCCUAUCCCUAGUUUCUGGUGGUUCCUGGCAAUCCUGGUGUUCCUUGGCUUGCAGCUGGCUCCCCACAAUAUCUGCCUCCAUUUUACAUGGCCUUCCCUCUGUUUCUCUGUGUGCCCUCUCUUAUAAAAACAGCAGUCAUUGGAUUUAAGGUCCACCAUAAUCCAGCAUGACUUUAUUUUAAGUUAAUUACAUUUGCAGAAACCCUGUUUCCAAACAUGUCACAUUCUAAAGUUCUGGAUAGACAUGCAUUUUGAGGGAGAUGCUAUUCAACCCCCUAUACUAAAACUCUUUUUCUGUGGAAGAGAAAGAGGCAGGGAGAGUAACUUGUCCAGAUCACUGUUAAGUGGUUGAGCUGAGCUUUCAUGUGUACUCAUUAGCCAAAGUGUCUUCCUUCUUCCCCUCUGCCCUCUUCCCUCUUUCCUUUCAUCGCCUAUUUUCUUAUCCAAGGAUGCCCUGGAUAUUAGUUUACCUUCAUUUGAAUGGAGAAAAAUGCCCAUUGUUAACUGUUAACUGUUGGGGUGAGGGGAUGGGAAGGUGUUCAGUGGAAGGUCUCUCAAUCUCCUUGAGAGUUAGUUUACUUUUUUUGCAAAAAUGGAGAAAAUGAAACUUGUCUCAUUUGGUGGUUGCAUGUAUUAUUAAAUCACAUACAACCGAUCACAAAAUCAAUGUGUAAGAAAGUGUCUGGGAAAAUCUUCCAAGGCAUACAGCCCUGAGGGACUUUUGUAGAAAAUCAUUUAGAAAGUAAGGCAUCCAUUACUCACCUAGGGU